GGGCUCUUAGCUCAGUAGUACGAGCGUUCCGUUCGCAACGGAAAGGUCGCGGGUGCGAUUCCCGCAGAGUCCA
rnacentral:tRNA from 1 species